GAGCGGAGAUGAGGUGCUUGCACCUUAUCUUAGCGGCGGACGGGUGAGUAAUGCUUAGGAAUCUGCCUAUUAGUGGGGGACAACAUUUCGAAAGGAAUGCUAAUACCGCAUACGCCCUACGGGGGAAAGCAGGGGAUCUUCGGACCUUGCGCUAAUAGAUGAGCCUAAGUCGGAUUAGCUAGUUGGUGGGGUAAAGGCCUACCAAGGCGACGAUCUGUAGCGGGUCUGAGAGGAUGAUCCGCCACACUGGGACUGAGACACGGCCCAGACUCCUACGGGAGGCAGCAGUGGGGAAUAUUGGACAAUGGGGGGAACCCUGAUCCAGCCAUGCCGCGUGUGUGAAGAAGGCCUUUUGGUUGUAAAGCACUUUAAGCGAGGAGGAGGAGCUCUAGAUUAAUACUCUAGAUGCUUGGACGUUACUCGCAGAAUAAGCACCGGCUAACUCUGUG
rnacentral:rRNA from 1 species